GAUACGUGGAAGGAGGAUCUGCCGUGCCAAACGGCCAGCACAGUGGACAUUCUGCUUCCUUCAGCUUUGAACCCCCAGCUCAGGACCCUGAAGACACUCAGCAAUUAGUGAGUGGGCUGGGUGACCUCAGGCAAGUGACAAGUCUGUUUUUGCCUCCAGACCUGUUUUUCUAUCUAUACAACGAGGAUAGUAUAAGCACCCGCCCAUUAAGAUUGCUUUGCAAAGAGGUCGGGAGCAGGGAGUGGCCAGUCUUGCCUCAGUGUGUGGAGAGUUUGCCUGAGAAUGAAGCCAACUCCACAGAAGAAAGGAGAGCUGAGACAGGGAGAGAGAGAUUUCUGACAUUGUCUGAGCACCUGGAUCCAACUACACCUGAAGCACUGAAAGUUCAAUACCUGCCUUCCCUUGUGGAGCACACAGCGGCAGGACCAUACUAGGUGCUCAAUAAACAUUUGUUGCCCGUAUCA